ACGUCGGGUUCUUUUAGUCAAAUGCUCGUUCGUCAGCGGCAGCCAUCUUUUUUUUUUUUCAAAAGUCCCUUCCGUGUUUGUGAUUGGACCGGCACGUUCUCUGCCGGAGGGGGAAAUCACUUCCCAUUGGAGGAUGAUCCAGACAUGUCAAAACUGCCAAAAAAAAAAAAAGUUUUGCUCAUCGCCCCGGAGGCCGCAAACGUCCCGCCGCUGAUGAAACACACCACCUGUACCAGAGGAAACCCAGAGGAGCUCGGACACGCACGCACGCCACCGCUCGCCGCCAUGCAAGCUGCCAACGACUCACAACAUCAAUAAAGAGGCGCACAGGAACAAUGUGUGUACGCGUUCCCCUCCUCAAGGGUCCACGCAAAAAAAACUCCGGUUACCACUUUCUCCUAUUCUCUUUUUUACAGUGCGAGGGGCAAUUUCCUGCGCGAGAGGCUCACGCCGACGAGGUUCCAGAGCCAGGCAUUGAAUCUCGCAGCCCUUGUUAAACGCGCAGCUGUCGACGGCGGGAAGCGAGAGUGUGAAUUCUUGUGUCAUGCGGUGCGAGCGUGGGGGGGGCGGGGGGGGGGGCGACUCAUGGUCACGUAUGUGUGCCAGCGUGAGCGAGCCAACGAACGCGAGCGGGCGGUGACAUAAAUGUAAUGUUUUGUAUGCAAUUUGUCGCUCAGACAGUGGUGGAAAGUAACUUUGAUGUACAUUACCUCAAGUUAUAUUGCUACACUUCUAUACUCCUGCCUUACUGCAUUUCAGAGGAAAGUCUCCUACUGUUCACUCUACUUUCAUUUGCCAGCUGAAGCACGGUGUUCACAGAAUAAAGGUUUACAUGCAAAAUGUACGAACCAUUCACACGAUAGGAUUCUGCGUAAGAGUAUUAGGGCCAGGCGUGUGGGAAAAAAUGAGGGGGAAGAUAUUUUUUAUUCAUUUAAAAUGUCGAGAAUAAAGUCGUAAUGUCGAGAUUAAAGUUGAAAUGUCCCUAAACGUC